rnacentral:rRNA from 1 species
CAGUCGCCGCGGUAAUACAGAGGAUGCAAGCGUUAUCCGGAAUGAUUGGGCGUAAAGUGUCUGUAGGUGGCUUUUCAAGUCCGCCGUCAAAUCCCAGGGCUCAACCCUGGACAGGCGGUGGAAACUACCAAGCUGGAGUACGGUAGGGGCAGAGGGAAUUUCCGGUGGAGCGGUGAAAUGCGUAGAGAUGUGGAGGAACACCAGUGGCGAAGGCAGCCCCCUGGGCCAAUACUGACGCUCAUGCACGAAAGCGUGGGGAGCAAACAGGAUUAGAUACCCCUGUAGUCCCUGUCUCUUAUAC